GCUGGGUAGCCUCAAGGUAGAGCACUUGAAAGAACCUCCCCACUAUGGAGUGGCUUCACAUUUACCUCCUGCCCCUUGUUUUCUCCACAGGUCUUUGUGCCCUGCCUGUGCUGACCCAGAUGCCAUCUGCAUCUGCCUCCCUGGGAGCCUCAGCCACACUCACCUGCACCCUGAGCAGUGAGCACAGCAACUACUACAUUUUAUGGUAUCAGCAGAGGCUGGGGAACAGCCCCCAGUAUGUAAUGAAGGUGAACAGUGAUGGCAGCCACAGCAAGGGGACUGGGAUCUCUGACCGCUUCACAGGCUCUAGUUCUGGGGCUAAUCGUUACUUAACAAUUGCCAACAUCCAGCCUGAGGAUGAAGCUGAUUAUUACUGUGGAGAGAGACAUACAAUUGAUGGCCAGAGCGGGUAUGUCUUCGGUGGUGGGACCCGGCUCACCGUUCUAGGUCAGCCCAAGGCUUCCCCCUCGCUCACUGUAUUUCCACCCUCCUCUGACGAGCUACAGACCAACAAGGCUACACUGGUGUGUCUGAUCAAUGACUUCUACCCGGGUGCUGUGACUGUGGCCUGGAAAGCAGAUAGUACCACAAUCAGCCAGGGUGUGGAGACUACCCAGCCCUCUAAACAGACCAACAACAAGUACAUGGCCAGCAGCUACCUGACCAUCACGCCUGACAAGUGGAAAUCUCACAAAAGCUUUAGCUGCCAGGUCACACAUGAAGGAAACACUGUGGAGAAGAGUGUGUCCCCUUCAGCAUGUUCUUAACCUUUUGUCCCUCACCCCACCCUCAUGAUCCUGGAAGUGAAGGACCCUGGUGAGGGACCCCCUCCUUUUCCUAGUCUUCCCACUAAGCCCUUCUCUCUGAACCCACUGACUGCUCAAUAAAAAUAUCCCAUUGUGAAUCAGAAA